GUAUUAGGUUGGUGCAAAAGUGAUUGUGGUUUUUGCCAUAACUUUUAUGACAAAAACCGCAAUUACUUCAGCACCAACCUAA
rnacentral:miRNA from 1 species